rnacentral:rRNA from 1 species
UACGAAGGGGGCUAGCGUUGCUCGGAAUCACUGGGCGUAAAGCGCACGUAGGCGGAUUCUUAAGUCAGGGGUGAAAUCCUGGAGCUCAACUCCAGAACUGCCUUUGAUACUGAGGGUCUUGAGUUCGGGAGAGGUGAGUGGAACUGGCGAGUGUAGAGGUGAAAUUCGUAGAUAUUCGCAAGAACACCAGUGGCGAAGGCGGCUCACUGGCCCGAUACUGACGCUGAGGUGCGAAAGCGUGGGGAGCAACAGGG